GGUUUCGAGUGAGGGCCUCUGGGUCCACCUCCCACCCGUGUUUAUUUUACCUUGUUGCUUCGGCGGGCCCGCCUUAACUGGCCGCCGGGGGGCUUACGCCCCCGGGCCCGCGCCCGCCGAAGACACCCUCGAACUCUGUCUGAAGAUUGUAGUCUGAGUGAAAAUAUAAAUUAUUUAAAACUUUCAACAACGGAUCUCUUGGUUCCGGCAUCGAUGAAGAACGCAGCGAAAUGCGAUACGUAAUGUGAAUUGCAAAUUCAGUGAAUCAUCGAGUCUUUGAACGCACAUUGCGCCCCCUGGUAUUCCGGGGGGCAUGCCUGUCCGAGCGUCAUUUCUGCCCUCAAGCACGGCUUGUGUGUUGGGCCCCGUCCUCCGAUCCCGGGGGACGGGCCCGAAAGGCAGCGGCGGCACCGCGUCCGGUCCUCGAGCGUAUGGGGCUUUGUCACCCGCUCUGUAGGCCCGGCCGGCGCUUGCCGAUCAACCCAAAUUUUUAUCCAGGUUGACCUCGGAUCAGGUAGGGAUACCCGCUGAACUUAAGCAUAUCAAAGGCCGGGGAGGAAU
rnacentral:rRNA from 1 species